ACAAUAAGGACAUCUGAAAUUCUAUCUCAAUUUAUAUUCCAUGGUCAAGGAGAACUGAAAUGCCACCUACUGAGUGAUAACAAUGAACAUUUUGCUCUCGAAUGCAUUUUUAGUCAUCAGAAACAAUUCAAUUAUUUGACGUUCUGGAAAGCAAAUCAUAUUAGUAUGCUUUAGUUAAUGUUUUGGUUUUUUUUUGGUUUUUUUAUGCUCGGUCUUGUCGUUGCUCUCUGAUUACAGUUUACAUGUUUUCUUCUUUUAUGGAAUAUUCUUUACACUGUAUUUUAGCUCAUGUUCUUUUCUUAACCAAUGUAAUCCGAUUUUCUUUGAUAUCUGUUAAAGGCAAAAGGUUUACAUCAUAAAUAUGCUGGUACUUAAAAUUUUCUCUGCUGCACCAUGGGAUGUGUCCUCCCUUAAAGUUGCUU